GAUGAGCCUGCACUUGAUUAGUUUGUUGGUAGGGUAAUGGCCUACCAAGACAAUGAUCAAUAGCUGAUUUGAGAGGAUGAUCAGCCACAUUGGGACUGAGACACGGCCCAAACUCCUACGGGAGGCAGCAGUAGGGAAUCUUGCACAAUGGGCGCAAGCCUGAUCCAGCCAUACCGCGUGUGUGAAGAAGGCUUUCGGGUUGUAAAGCACUUUAAGUAAGGAGGAAAAGAUUGUAGUUAAUACCUGCAAUCCGUGACGUUACUUACAGAAUAAGGACCGGCUAAUUCCGUGCCAGCAGCCGCGGUAAUACGGAAGGUCCAAGCGUUAAUCGGAAUUACUGGGCGUAAAGCGCGCGUAGGUGGUUUUUUAAGUUGGAUGUGAAAGCCCUGGGCUCAACCUAGGAACUGCAUCCAAAACUAGAUGACUAGAGUACGAAAGAGGGAAGUAGAAUUCACAGUGUAGCGGUGGAAUGCGUAGAUAUUGUGAAGAAUACCAAUGGCGAAGGCAGCUUCCUGGUUCUGUACUGACACUGAGGUGCGAAAGCGUGGGUAGCGAACAGGAUUAGAUACCCUGGUAGUCCACGCCGUAAACGAUGACAACUAGCUGUUGGGAGACAAGAUCUCUCAGUGGCGCAGCUAACGCUUUAAGUUGUCCGCCUGGGGAGUACGGCCGCAAGGUUAAAACUCAAAUGAAUUGACGGGGACCCGCACAAGCGGUGGAGCAUGUGGUUUAAUUCGAUGCAACGCGAAAAACCUUACCUACUCUUGACAUACUUGGAAGCUCUUGUAAUGAGAGUGUGCUUUUAGAGCCAAGAUACAGGUGCUGCAUGGCUGUCGUCAGCUCGUGUCGUGAGAUGUUGGGUUAAGUCCCAUAACGAGCGCAACCCUUACCCUUAUUUGCCAGCGGUUCGGCCGGGAACUAUAAGGGGACUGCCGGUGACAAACCGGAGGAAGGUGAGGACGACGUCAAGUCAUCAUGGCCCUUACGAGUAGGGCUACACACGUGCUACAAUGGGGAAUACAGACGGACGCUAAAGCGUGAGCUGGUGCUAAUCCUAAAAAAUUUCUCGUAGUCCGGAUUGCAGUCUGCAACUCGACUGCAUGAAGUCGGAAUCGCUAGUAAUCGCGAAUCAGCAUGUCGCGGUGAAUACGUUCUCGGGUCUUGUACACACCGCCCGUCACACCAUGGAAGUGUGUUGCACCAGAAGUAG
rnacentral:rRNA from 1 species